UACAGCUCCCUGUAAGUUUGUCCUGUGUCGCUGAGAGCUCUAUUUUUCAGAACAUCCUUUCUGCAACCAAUGAUGAAAGCUUGCAAGGUAUGUAUUCUUUGCUGCUAUGUUUCAUGGAUAUCAAGUCUAUGCAAGCCUCUAGAUAGUAGUAGCUUUUAAAAUUUUAUCGAAUUUGACAGUGCAGCGGGAAAUAAUACCAAUCAGCAGCAGAUGGUGAUAAGUCACUAACUAACCCUGUUGUUCCCAGGUGAACACAGCAGGAACAUCUAUUGCAUUGGCAGAAGAAUCACCGGAUGUUGGUACGUUAGGGUUUGCUGGCUAAAGAACAUCUAUUGAAUUCCCUGGCAGGAAAGUUCUAGGCCCAUCACUUUGUACAAAAAAUUAAUGCAAUACAUGUCUAGAUGAUCAUGUUCUUUUUCUCAAACUGUCAGUUAACGUUUGCUGGCUUUAAUUUAGAUAUGCAAAUGAGGGCAACUUUUCUUGUUUAGUACCCUGUUUCCGAGGGAUGAGGCGCUGUUGGCUAUUUGCUGGUGCGAAGAGUGCGCAAUCGUCGCGACUCGCAGGUGCUGGAUCAAUGUCGCUUGACAACAGCGAGGUGUAGAUGGUGACAUGCACAUCGGAGUCGAGUAGUGUUGACACGAGGCGGCAGAAAGUACGGGCGAGUCAGUACUAUGAGUCACUUCUGCUAGAAGCCAAAGUGAAGAAUGAGCGAGAAGUUCUACUGGUACUGCGAAAGAUGUGGGCAUUAAACUCCAAUAGUUACAGACAAAGAUUGAUAGUUGACUAAACUUCCAUCAUUAUCUGAGAAAGUUGUGUAGUUAUAUAGAUCAAACGGGGCUAUGUACUAUAAAUACACUAUUAGAGGUAGGGAAAAGGCUGAAUUCGCCGGAUGAGCGUAGAUGAUAACAAAUUUUGGAAUUUGUUC